rnacentral:RNase_P_RNA from 2 species
CCAGAGGGUCGGCCAGCCGCGACAAAAGUCGAGGAAAGUCCGGGCUCCACGAUUAGAAGGUGCCGGAUAACGUCCGGCCAGGGCAACUUGAGGGAAAGUGCAACAGAAAGCAGGUCGCGACGUCUUCGGGCCCGUGACAUUGAAAGGGUGCGGUAAGAGCGCACCGCGGGCUUGGUAACAAGCCUGGCAUGGUAAACCCCACCUGGAGCAAAACCAAAUAGGGGCGGUAUAUGGCUUUUUCGGCCUACUGCCCGGGUUGGUUGCUAGAACCAUAUAGCAAUAUAUGGUCGAGAUGAAUGGCUGGCUAUCCUUCCUUCGGGAAGGUGGACAGAACCCGGCUUACAGACCCUCUGGUAUU